UACAGAGGAUGCAAGCGUUAUCCGGAAUUAUUGGGCGUAAAGAGCUCGUAGGCGGUGUGUCACGUCGGCCGUGAAAACCUGCAGCUUAACUGUGGGCGUGCGGUCGAUACGGGCAUCACUGGAGUUCGGCAGGGGAGACUGGAAUUCCUGGUGUAGCGGUGAAAUGCGCAGAUAUCAGGAGGAACACCGGUGGCGAAGGCGGGUCUCUGGGCCGAUACUGACGCUGAGGAGCGAAAGCGUGGGGAGCAAACAGG
rnacentral:rRNA from 1 species